GACGAACGCUGGCGGCGGGCUUAACACAUGCAAGUCGAACGGAAAGGCCCUGCGUUUGUGGGGUGCUCGAGUGGCGAACGGGUGAGUAACACGUGAGUAACCUGCCCUUGACUUUGGGAUAACUUCAGGAAACUGGGGCUAAUACCGGAUAGGAGCUCCUGCUGCAUGGUGGGGGUUGGAAAGUUUCGGCGGUUGGGGAUGGACUCGCGGCUUAUCAGCUUGUUGGUGGGGGAGUGGCUUACCAAGGAUUUGACGGGUAGCCGGCCUGAGAGGGUGACCGGCCACCAUGGGACUGAGAUACGGCCCAGACUCCUACGGGAGGCAGCAGUCGGGAAUAUUGCCCAAUGGGCGGAAGUCUGAUGCAGCAGCGCCGCGUGCGGGAUGACGGCCUUCGGGUUGUAAACCGCUGUCGCCUGUGACGCAGCGUGAGUGACGGUAAUGGGUAAAGAAGCACCGGCUAACUACGUG
rnacentral:rRNA from 1 species